rnacentral:rRNA from 1 species
UACGUAGGGUGCAAGCGUUGUCCGGAAUUAUUGGGCGUAAAGGGCUCGUAGGCGGUCCAUCGCGUCGGGAGUGAAAAGCUGGGGCUUAACCUUGAGAUGUCAUCGGAAACCAUUUGGCUAGAGUCCGGAAGAGGAAAGUGGAAUUCCUGGUGUAGCGGUGAAAUGCGCAGAUAUCAGGAAGAACACCAAUGGCGAAAGCAGCUUUCUGGGACGGUACUGACGCUGAGGAGCGAAAGCGUGGGGAGCAAACAGG